GUUUCUUGGAACAACAACCAGCGAUCUGUGCUGCUCUGUUGUCCUCUGACGUCAGGCGGUCAGGAAGUGAUAUUUGCACCCUCAACGAAAAUGGCAUUACAGACGCUGAGGACAUAAUGCAGGCACUUCGACCGAUGUUUGUAGCCACGAAAAUAGUUUCAGAGGAGAAGAAUCCCACUUUGUCCAUCAUUGCUCCAGUGCAUGCAAAGCUGCUAAAUGACACACAUCAGGCAAUGGGGGACAAACCAAUUGUGAGGGACAUCAAACAGGCAAUAAAUCAAGAUCUGCAGAAGAGAUAUAGCACUGUUGAGGAGAAAAACACCCUCCACACAGCAUCGGCCCUGGAUCCACGAUUUAAGUCACUGCCUUUCCUGACCCCAGAUGACAUCAGUGCCACAUAUUCCAAACUGGUUGUGGAGGCAGCCAGCCUUCAGCCCACUAUUAGGCAAGAAGAGACCAGCAGUGCCUCUGGAAUAGAAAUGGAUGGACAGGAUCUUGAGGUGCUUGAAGAGCCACAACCUAAAAGAAGAUCUGGGCUAGCUGAUUUACUGGGAGAAACAUUUUCUACCACAGCCCCACUAAAGUCAGCAUUUUCCCAAGCUGAAGAGGAAGUGAAGAGAUACCAGGAGGCUUCUCCACUGCCACUUUAAGAAAACUCUCUCAACUGGUGGAAAGCUCAUGAGAAAAUGUAUCCUUUCCUGGCCAAACUCGCCAAAAGAUACCUGAGCAUUCCAGGCACAAGUGUGUCUGCUGAAAGGGUUCUGCUGUUCUCCACUGCAGGGGAUAUAGUCACAGCCCAGAGGAGCACUUUAACAUCUGAGCAUGUUGACCAACUGCUUUUUCUGAGCAAAAAUGCCAACAUUCCAAAAUUAAUUUAACAUUUUGGUUCAUGACCUUGCAGCCAACUAGACUGGACUCUAGCAGUUCACAUUUUUGUUUAUUUUUCUCAAGUUGAUCGAAGCACUGAGUUACUCUUAUUUAUAUGAGUAUUCUAAGGUUUAUGUUACUCUAUUAAGUCUGCUUUGUGUUACUCUAUUGUAUUUAAAUAAUUUUAAUUUAUGUGCUGGGAGCUCAGCGUUCAUGUGAGAGGUCACCUAUUCCGAAAUAAUUACAACGGUCCUGUGUCCUGAAUGUUCAAGGACAAAGUUUUGCACUACCCUCCUAAGUUUUUGCACUGUUGUUCACAUAAUUAAAUGUGCCAUUUGAAGUGAGUUGAGCAGUCUUUUUUUCCUCUUUUUUUGUAAUGUCUUUGAAUAAUAUGGGGAACAUGAAUCGCAAUAUAUCGCAGAAUUGAAUCGCAAUACUUGCUGUAUCGCAAUAUAUUGAGAAUCGCAAUAAUAUUGAAUCGUCG
rnacentral:lncRNA from 1 species